UACGUAGGUGGCAAGCGUUAUCCGGAAUUACUGGGUGUAAAGGGAGCGUAGACGGUAAUGUAAGUCUGGAGUGAAAGGCGGGGGCCCAACCCCCGGACUGCUCUGGAAACUAUGUGACUGGAGUGCAGGAGAGGUAAGCGGAAUUCCUGGUGUAGCGGUGAAAUGCGUAGAUAUCAGGAGGAACACCAGUGGCGAAAGCGGCUCUCUGGUCUGUAACUGACGCUGAGGCACGAAAGCGUGGGGAGCAAACAGG
rnacentral:rRNA from 1 species